rnacentral:rRNA from 1 species
UCCGACAAGGCACCAGGGCCGGACGGUUUCUCGGGUGCCUCCUUCAAAUCUUGCUGGGACACUAUCAAGCACGACCUGCUAGCGGCGUUGAAUCAGUUAUUCAGGAUGGAAUGCCGAGGUCUAGAUCGUCUCAGUCAUGCUAUACUCGUGCUCAUUCCCAAGAAAUUGGGUGUGGAUGCUCCGCAAGACUUUAGGCCGAUCUCGUUACUCCACAGUGUGAUCAAAAUCUUCUCGAAGAUCCUGGCCUUAGAAGAUUCUGGCCUUGCGGCUCGCCCCAAAGCUCAACGCAUUUGUUGA